rnacentral:rRNA from 1 species
AUGCAGUCCUAUCUUAAUCGGGAAGUCAUCAAUGUCGACAUCACUUGUUCAAACACUUGUCACAACAUUAUCGUACAUGUCCUUGAUGAGGGUAAUGUACUUUGCUGGGACUUUGUGUUUCUCCAAGGCCCACCACAUGACAUUCCGCGGUAUCUUAUCAUAGGCCUUCUCCAAGUCAAUGAACACCAUACGCAAGUCCUUCUUUUGCUCCUUAUAUCUCUCCAUAAGUUGUCGUACCAAGAAAAUGGCUUCCAUGGUCGACCUCCCAGGCAUGAAACCAAACUGAUUUUUGGUCACGCUUGUCAUUCUUCUUAA